rnacentral:rRNA from 1 species
AUUGAACGCUGGCGGAAUGCUUUACACAUGCAAGUCGAACGGUAGAGGGGGCAACCUCUCGAGAGUGGCGAACGGGUGAGUAAUAUAUCGGAACGUGCCCAGUCGUGGGGGAUAACGUAGCGAAAGUUACGCUAAUACCGCAUACGAUCUACGGAUGAAAGCGGGGGACUCGCAAGAGCCUCGUGCGAUUGGAGCGGCCGAUAUCAGAUUAGGUAGUUGGUGGGGUAAAGGCUCACCAAGCCAACGAUCUGUAGCUGGUCUGAGAGGACGACCAGCCACACUGGAACUGAGACACGGUCCAGACUCCUACGGGAGGCAGCAGUGGGGAAUUUUGGACAAUGGACGCAAGUCUGAUCCAGCCAUUCCGCGUGCAGGAUGAAGGCCCUCGGGUUGUAAACUGCUUUUGUACGGAACGAAAGGUUUCCAUUAAUACUGGAGCUCAUGACGGUACCGUAAGAAUAAGCACCGGCUAACUACGUG